rnacentral:rRNA from 1 species
UAAAGUGGCGAACGGCUGAGUAACACGUGGGCAACCUGCCCUUUGCACUGGGAUAGCCUCGGGAAACCGAGGUUAAUACCGGAUACUCCAUAUUUGUCGCAUGGCGAAUAUGGGAAAGCUCCGGCGGCAAAGGAUGGGCCCGCGGCCUGUUAGCUAGUUGGUGGGGUAGUGGCCUACCAAGGCAAUGAUGGGUAGCCGGGCUGAGAGACCGACCGGCCAGAUUGGGACUGAGACACGGCCCAGACUCCUACGGGAGGCAGCAGGU